rnacentral:rRNA from 1 species
UACGAAGGGGGCUAGCGUUGCUCGGAAUCACUGGGCGUAAAGGGUGCGUAGGCGGGUCUUUAAGUCAGGGGUGAAAUCCUGGAGCUCAACUCCAGAACUGCCUUUGAUACUGAAGAUCUUGAGUUCGGGAGAGGUGAGUGGAACUGCGAAGUGUAGAGGUGAAAAUUCGUAGAUAUUCGCAAGAACACCAGUGGCGAAGGCGGCUCACUGGCCCGAUACUGACGCUGAGGCACGAAAGCGUGGGUAGCAAACAGG